rnacentral:tRNA from 1 species
GACUGGAUAGCCUAGUGGUCAAAGGCAGCACUUCUAGUACAGUGUCUCAGUUUAUGAUGAGGUCCCAGGUAUGAAUCCUGGUCUAGUCA